CAGUCCACACAGGCAUUUUUCGUUUAAAUGAAGUCCCUUCUCAGCAAAAAUGCAAUUUAGGCGGAAAGUGUCGUCCCUGAUUAGCCUGUGCGGAUUGCACAGGCUAAUCUGGGACGACACUUUACGCACAUGCAUUAUGCCCAGUUUUCUCAGAACACGACUCAUAUAUUGACACGGCAUGUUUGUUAAUGGAGUUUCCAUUAAGAAUGUCUGUACAUUUCGGCAUUUACAAAUACCGGUAUGUACAAACGAGAACACGUUUUAUUAGCCGGGAUUAUCAAACAAGUUGGGAACUUCAGAAUUUCGUAAUCGGUCCAACCCAUUUCACAUGACAGCAUUGCGAAAACCAAUACUUUACCGACGGACUAGAUUUUGUCACCAUUUUGUGAAAGGCUAAUGCGCUUGAUAAGGUGCCUAUAACGUAAACAAACACGGUGUAUUUAAACCAGAAUAAAUCUCAAAAGCAGAACAGUGUUUAAUUCAUUAACUAAACCGACGAACGCGUUUAGUAGAUAGGGGAAUACCACGGGCUACUUAACAAGGAAAAUUAAAUGUAUUGUGUUACAAAUACCACGAAAAGAAAAGUUAGAGGAAUUCAUUAAGUGGCGAGCCUUCUGAAACCAAGAAAUCGAACGUACUGCGGAAAUUAAAUCGUGGAAAGCUAAAGUAAUCUUAAUAUUCAAUCGACGAGGAGAAGUGCAUAAAAUAUAGAACAUUCAGUGAUUUACCAGAGGUUACAUCGUUGAAUGUGUGUGAGAUAACUUUUAUUAUAAAAUCAAGACGCUGUUAUUCGAGGAGAAUCAGUAUUAAUUCAGAAAAUAAACUUUACAUUAUAGCAAACAAUAUAUACGGUCUUGAGUUUCAUCUGUUUGUUAAUUGAUAUAGCUGUUCACAGGAUUUUACUGUUAGACAAGAAGGCAAAACAUAAUUACAAAAAUCGAAUUCAAAAGGAGACAGGAUAUUCCAAAUAAAAUCGCAUUGAUGUUACACCACGACGUCUCGAGAACGGGUCUCUCUGCGUCCAUCAUGGAGUCGCGACUGCUAAAGGAUUACCGGAAGCACUACAGCUACUUGCUGUGGCGGCGAGCCGAGCUAGAGCAGUAUAUGGAGCGGACGUUGCGGGACCUCAUCGACACAUACAGGACCGCCGGGGUGAAAGGGGUCAUGGGCAGGAUCUUGUGACAGCCCAAAUCAUAAUAGUUGUGUCAGGUGUGACUGCGAAAAGGCCCAACAGAGACGUGAUUGUGACAUCACCGUGGACAUCAGAGAAAGAUCAAAUGACGUAUGUGGUGUUGAACAAUGUGCGGUCUGAUGUUCGUUUUCAUCAACCAAUAUUCGGACGUAGGUCUUAGAAUAAAAACUUCUCUUGAAACUGUUCUACUCUAUGAACCGCUGUUAAUUUGAGUCGUGCAUGGGUUUCACACACUCACAAUCAGAAUUAAGUAUUUUGAGCGUUUUUAUUUGGCUACUCCGAUAUGGGAACAAAACUACCGGUAUGAAUUUGAAACUGCCGGUAUGAAUUUGAAACUGCCGGUAUGAAUUCGAAACUACCGGUAUGAAUUUUAAAUUACCGGUAUGAAGAUCAAACGAUUGGUCGAACGAAUCAGAAGUGCCGUGAAUCAUAUGGCUCUACAAACUGUUAGCCACGACUACAACAGUACUUGAUAUCUAGUGACAGUGUGCUCCUGGUUCUAUUGUGGACACUACGGCGCUGAGCACGAAUCUCAAACUGUAUAAAUAGCAAUCUCACAGUGCGUGUUUUUGACGAAUCUCAUCAAUAAAUGCCCUCAGUAUUACCAUAAAUAUUAACACAAAUUGCCUCGAUGGAACAUGGGUCUAGACUUUUGGGUCUCAUGCGAUAACCACUGAAUUGCAAAAUUAAUUCUAUUUUUAUACUAUUUUGACACGUAAGUUAAAUGCAACUCUCUCGAAUGUAUUGCGUAGUACUAAAAUUAUUAAAUGUAUAAUAAGUUAAACGGCAAUAUGUUCUGUUGUAUGUUUGUUAUUGUUUUGUUUACAGGAUGAAAUUCCGUUGUCUAUAGAUUUAUUGAAAUAUUUAUUGUUAUUUCAAACAUCACAUGUUAUUUAUGUUUUUGUAUUUAUUUUGUGACAAAUAUGUACAUUUUUCAUAUUUGUUGAUAGCAAUGCAACGAAAUGAUGCAAUAUCACGUGUGUUACGUCGGUGACGUUUCCAGAUUUGAAUCCUUAUUGGGUACACCAAAUCAUGGAUACAUUUUAUUUUAAUUAUUUAGAAACAUUACAUUAUGUUUUAUUUGUGUGUAGCCCAAAUUUGAAUGAAAUCCUUCUUUGAGCGUAGUUGACAGUUAUAUCGCAGGACGAUAUUGUUAUUGUUUUUAUUAAAUAAUCGAUUGGCGAUGUCACUGUGAAUGUUUUUGUAUAUUAAUUGUCCGUUUAUUGUGCAAAAUAUUCAUUAUUGCAUGCUGCUAAUCAAGAAGUAAUAUGUGAAUACAAAAUUUGACUUAA